GAUGAACGCUAGCUACAGGCUUAACACAUGCAAGUCGAGGGACCGGAGCACGGGUGAGUAACCCGUAUCCAACCUGCCCUUUACUCGGGGAUAGCCUUUCGAAAGUAAGAUUAAUACCCAAUAUACAGGGUGGGGAUGCGUUCCAUUAGGUUGUUGGUGAGGUACCGGCUCACAAAUCCGUCGAUGGAUAGGGGUUGGGAGAGGAAGGUCCCCCGCAUUGGAACUGAGACACGGUCCACACUCCUACGGGAGGCAGCAGUGAGGAAUAGUGGUCGAUGGGCGCUAGCCUGAACCAGCCAAGUAGCGUGAAGGAUGAAGGGUUAUGGGUCGUAAACUUCUUUUAUAUAAGAAUAUGUAUUAUAUGAAUAAGGAUCGGCUAACUCCGUGCCAGCAGCCGCGGUAAUUC
rnacentral:rRNA from 1 species